rnacentral:rRNA from 2 species
AUACAUGCAAGUCGAAUGAGCUUCCGUUGAAUGACGUGCUUGCACUGAUUUCAACAAUGAAGCGAGUGGCGAACUGGUGAGUAACACGUGGGAAAUCUGCCCAGAAGCAGGGGAUAACACUUGGAAACAGGUGCUAAUACCGUAUAACAACAAAAUCCGCAUGGAUUUUGUUUGAAAGGUGGCUUCGGCUAUCACUUCUGGAUGAUCCCGCGGCGUAUUAGUUAGUUGGUGAGGUAAAGGCCCACCAAGACGAUGAUACGUAGCCGACCUGAGAGGGUAAUCGGCCACAUUGGGACUGAGACACGGCCCAAACUCCUACGGGAGGCAGCAGUAGGGAAUCUUCCACAAUGGACGAAAGUCUGAUGGAGCAAUGCCGCGUGAGUGAAGAAGGGUUUCGGCUCGUAAAACUCUGUUGUUAAAGAAGAACACCUUUGAGAGUAACUGUUCAAGGGUUGACGGUAUUUAACCAGAAAGCCACGGCUAACUACGUGCCAGCAGCCGCGGUAAUACGUAGGUGGCAAGCGUUGUCCGGAUUUAUUGGGCGUAAAGCGAGCGCAGGCGGUUUUUUAAGUCUGAUGUGAAAGCCUUCGGCUUAACCGGAGAAGUGCAUCGGAA